AUUGAACGCUGGCGGCACGCCUAACACAUGCAAGUCGAGCGGUAGCAUGCUCUGUAGCAAUACAGAGUGAUGACGAGCGGCGGACGGGUGAGGAACACGUAGGAACCUGUCCUUUAGAGGGGGACAACCAAGGGAAACUUUGGCUAAUACCGCGUCAUCUCGAAAGAGUAAAGCUGCCCGAAAGGGUGGCGCUAAAGGAGGGGCCUGCGUCCGAUUAGCUAGUUGGUGAGGUAAUGGCUCACAAAGGCGAGGAUCGGUAACUGGUCUGAGAGGACGACCAGCCACACUGGGACUGAGACACGGCCCAGACUCCUACGGGAGGCAGCAGUGGGGAAUCUUGCGCAAUGGGCGAAAGCCUGACGCAGCAACGCCGCGUGAGCGAAGACGGCCUUCGGGUUGUAAAGCUCUGUCAGGAGGGACGAAGCCACUCAGGUGAAUAGCCGAGAGGGUGACGGUACCUCCAGAGGAAGCCCCGGCUAACUACGUGCCAGCCGCCGCUGUAAUAC
rnacentral:rRNA from 1 species